rnacentral:rRNA from 1 species
ACGAACGCUGGCGGCGUGCUUAACACAUGCAAGUCGAACGGACAGGCCCUUCUUUUGUUGGGUUCUCGAGUGGCGAACGGGUGAGUAACACGUGAGUCACCUGCCCUUGCCUUUUGGAUAACUUCAGGGAACUGGGGCUAAUACCGGAUCGGCGCUCCUGCUGCAUGGUGGGGGUUGGAAAGUUUCGGCGGUUGGGGAUGGACUCGCGGCUUAUCAGCUUGUUGGUGGGGUAGUGGCUUACCAAGGCUUUGCCGGGUAGCCGGCCUGAGAGGGUGACCGGCCACAUUGGGACUGAGAGACGGACCAGAGUCCUACGGGAGGCAGCAGUGGGGAAUAUUGCACAAUGGGAGGAAGCCUGAGGCAGAAACGCCGGGUGCGGGAUGACGGCCUUCGGGGUGUAAACCGCUGUAGCCUGUGACGAAGCGGGAGUGACGGUAAUGGGUAAAGAAGCACCGGCUAACUACGUG